rnacentral:sRNA from 1 species
GCGGGCAGGAUGCCCGUACAGGAAAAGGGUACGUCGAGUUUUUUGCGUAAGCAAAAAUACUCGAUGCUGAAAAAUGUACAUGGACGUACAUUUUUCAGCGAGU